GCCGCGUGUGUGAAGAAGGUCUUCGGAUUGUAAAGCACUUUAAGUUGGGAGGAAGGGCAGUAAAUUAAUACUUUGCUGUUUUGACGUUACCGACAGAAUAAGCACCGGCUAACUCUGUGCCAGCAGCCGCGGUAAUACAGAGGGUGCAAGCGUUAAUCGGAAUUACUGGGCGUAAAGCGCGCGUAGGUGGUUCGUUAAGUUGGAUGUGAAAUCCCCGGGCUCAACCUGGGAACUGCAUUCAAAACUGACGAGCUAGAGUAUGGUAGAGGGUGGUGGAAUUUCCUGUGUAGCGGUGAAAUGCGUAGAUAUAGGAAGGAACACCAGUGGCGAAGGCGACCACCUGGACUG
rnacentral:rRNA from 1 species